rnacentral:misc_RNA from 1 species
AAGUCGUAACAAGGUUUCCGUAGGUGAACCUGCGGAAGGAUCAUUAACACGUAUCCACGUAUCAACCAAUGAGAACCUGUUUUCCCGUCUCCCUGUGCGAAGAAUGAAUUGGAACCAGUUUGAGGGAGUGAUGGGACCGAAAGGUCGGCCUUCCUGGUAUACUUACGUAAAUAGAAAUGUUUGCGUAGACAAUUGUAUUUUUGUUACAGGCUAUUUCUUAUCGCUUUGAUCCCCAUCAUGAUCGUGGCGGUAGGGAAACUUUCACUAAAUUUACCUUUUUUGCUAGUUGACUUUUUAUAUGUGUUGUCUUGCGAAAGCAUGGUGGCACACGUUUAUUAAUUGAACGUUAAAAAAUACAACUCUUAGCAAUGGAUAUCUUGGUUCUC